AGCUUGCUGCGUGUAUGGUUAGUGGCAGACGGGUGAGUAAUGCAUAGGAAUCUACCUAGUAGUAUGGGAUAGCCACUAGAAAUGGUGGGUAAUACUGUAUAAUCCCUGCGGGGGAAAGAUUUAUCGCUAUUAGAUGAGCCUAUGUCAGAUUAGCUAGUUGGUGGGGUAAUGGCCUACCAAGGCGGUGAUCUGUAGCUGGUCUGAGAGGAUGAUCAGCCACACUGGAACUGAGACACGGUCCAGACUCCUACGGGAGGCAGCAGUGGGGAAUAUUGGACAAUGGGCGCAAGCCUGAUCCAGCUAUGCCGCGUGAGUGAGGAAGGCCUUAGGGUU
rnacentral:rRNA from 1 species